rnacentral:rRNA from 1 species
UACGAAGGGGGCUAGCGUUGCUCGGAAUCACUGGGCGUAAAGGGCGCGUAGGCGGCUGAUUUAGUCGAGGGUGAAAGCCCGUGGCUCAACCACGGAAUGGCCUUCGAUACUGGUUGGCUUGGGACCGGAAGAGGACAGCGGAACUGCGAGUGUAGAGGUGAAAUUCGUAGAUAUUAGGAAGAACACCAGUGGCGAAGGCGGCUCACUGGCCCGGAACUGACGCUGAGGUACGAAAGCGUGGGGAGCAAACAGG